CUCGGCUCUCGCAUCGAUGAAGAACGUAGCGAAAUGCGAUACCUGGUGUGAAUUGCAGAAUCCCGCGAACCAUCGAGUCUUUGAACGCAAGUUGCGCCCGAGGCCACUCGGCCGAGGGCACGCCUGCCUGGGCGUCACGCCAAAACACGCUCCCAACCACCCUCAACGGGAUUCGGGAUGCGGCAUCUGGUCCCUCGUCUCUCAAGGGACGGUGGACCGAAGAUUGGGCUGCCGGCGUACCGCGCCGGACACAGCGCAUGGUGGGCGUCCUCGGUUUAUCAAUGCAGUGCAUCCGGCGCGCAGCUGGCAUUAUGGCCUUUGAACGACCCAACAAACGAAGCGCACGUCGCUUCGACCGCGACCCCAGGUCAGGCGGGACUACCCGCUGAGUUUAAGCAUAUAAAUAAGCGGAGGAGAAGAAACUUACAAGGAUUCCCCUAGUAACGGCGAGCGAACCGGGAGCAGCCCAGCUUGAGAAUCGGGCGGCUGUGCCGUCCGAAUUGUAGUUUGGAGAGGCGUCCUCAGCGACGGACCGGGCCCAAGUCCCCUGGAAAGGGGCGCCUGGGAGGGUGAGAGCCCCGUCCGGCCUGGACCCUGUCGCCCCACGAGGCGCCGUCAACGAGUCGGGUUGUUUGGGAAUGCAGCCCAAAUCGGGCGGUAGACUCCGUCCAAGGCUAAAUACAGGCGAGAGACCGAUAGCGAACAAGUACCGCGAGGGAAAGAUGAAAAGGACUUUGAAAAGAGAGUCAAAGAGUGCUUGAAAUUGCCGGGAGGGAAGCGGAUGGGGGCCGGCGAUGCGCCCCGGCCAUAUGCGGAACGGCUCUUGCUGGUCAGCCGCUCGGCUCGGGGUGUGGACUGUUGUCGGCCGCGCCGGCGGCCAAAGCCCGGGGGCCCUAGGUGCCCCCGGUGGCCGUCGUCGGCACGGCCGGUACCCGCGCGCCUAAAGGCGUGUCCCUCGGGGCACUGCGCUGCAACGGCCUGCGGGCUCCCCAUCCGACCCGUCUUGAAACACGGACCAAGGAGUCUGACAUGCAUGCGAGUCGACGGGUUCUGAAACCUGGGAUGCGCAAGGAAGCUGACGAGCGGGAGGCCCUCACGGGCCGCACCGCUGGCCGACCCUGAUCUUCUGUGAAGGGUUCGAGUUGGAGCACGCCUGUCGGGACCCGAAAGAUGGUGAACUAUGCCUGAGCGGGGCGAAGCCAGAGGAAACUCUGGUGGAGGCUCGAAGCGAUAC
rnacentral:misc_RNA from 1 species